UUUUUCUGAAAGUCAUCCCAACAGAAGACUGCUUUUUGUGAUGCCAACCAUUAGAAACGUUUAUAAUUCCUUCCCCCGUAUGUUCACAUUCUUGGCUGUGAUUAUUAUCUUUAGCCUCAGGUAUCGAACAAUCUACAAUUUCAGUACAAUGAAUAGGCAUAAUCUCACAUUCUUGGCUGUGAUUAUUAUCUUUAGCCUCAGGUAUUGAACAAUCUACAAUUUCAGUACAAUGAAUAGGCAUCAUCUCGACUAAAGGAUAUUGUGUACUCUUUCUUUGCAAUGUCAAUGCAGAUUCUAGACCAACCACAACCUCAGCCAUUGU
rnacentral:lncRNA from 1 species